CGGGCGGGUUCCUCAGCUGCGGUCCACGGGAGCCUCUAAGUCCAGUAACGGAAAGAAAGCGGCGGUUUCGUCGCAUUUCCGCUGGCGGUUUCGCGCGCGGGGGGAGCGCGGGCGAGGCUUCCCCGGACUGGGGCGGAGACAGAAACUCUCCCCAGUGCCUGGGAAUUCUUCUUGGAUUACUGCGUUUUCAGCAGAGUUUUGUGAGCGUCUCACAUCUGCACCUGGAGAAGAAAGGUUUGUGCACGUAUCCACAAAUUGCGGGAGAAUGUGUUUCAAGAACACAAGACCCUCAGGGAGAAAGAGCUGGAAAUGGGACCCAAAGCCUCGCACAGCUACGGACGGAAGUUUGGCGUGGAGCAGGACAGGAUGGACAAGUCCUCCCUGACUUCUUGGUGAUGAAGAGUCACGCUGGUGGAUCCUUUGGGCAUGCUGCUGCCUCCAUGUUACCUUGCUGAUGUUUUCUGGAUGAGACCCCUGAAGCUGCAGAUGGGUGGUCUCUCCCACAAGUUUUUGGAAGCCGUGCUGCUCCAGAUCGGCUAUUGGCUGUGGGCAUCGAAUCCAGCCUGGGAGGGAGAGAAAGUAACAGCUCCAGACUGGAAAUCAGCUGUCGGCCUUGAGUAUCAGUCAAAGCUGUCCAAGUGCUGCUUGCAGGUUGACUCCAUCUGGGGGUUUGGAGGCAAGUUUGGUGUCCAGUUGGCCAGAGUGGACCAGAAACAUCUUCUAGGAAAUUAAGUAGGAGCUGGGCGAUGAUUGUUUUCUCCAGAACAGUGACAAGUGUUUGGAAACGGCCUAAGUGCUCAUCAGUGAGGGGUGAGGUGCAAUCUGUGGACACCCCACAAGGAACAGCCCUUCCCCUCCUUCCUGCCACCUUCAGCAGCCGCCGCCCCAGGACUGACUCGUCUGUGUGUGUUUCCAGUUUACCCGCACUAAUGCUACAGGUGAUUAUACAGCGUCCAGAAUACGACAAAGACAUUUUGAACUCGAUGCGAUCUUUAAUCUGUUUAAAGUUGUUGUAUGGCCCCUAAGGUAUUUUAUUACAGACUUUUUAAUUAGUGAAAAAUUCAUGAAUACCAUAGAGAAAAUGUUUUAAAAUUUAAUGUUUCUUCUAUUUAUGUAAACUUAUGACUUUAUUUAUAUACUGACUUUUUCUUGUAUAGCCAGGCUAUAUAUAUCCUUUCAGAUCAAUUCAUGUUCUGAUACGUGAUUUUAGUCUUUCAAAUGAAUGUACUGUAAUGCUUGUCUGUAUAAAUCCUAUGAACAAAUAUAGGGCUUUUGUAAAUGAUGCAUUUAUUGUAAUUAUUCUUGUUUAAUUUUUAAAUGAUAAACCAUGAGAGAAGGGGUUUUCCUGCAAUUGUAAAAUCAUCAUGACACGGUGUGCAUUAUCCUUCCAGAAUGUAACCGAGCUCUCCAACACUCACUCUGAAAUGAGCGAACUUACUUUCAACCAAUUGUUCUAUUUUAACGACUGACCUAAACUGUACUUUUUCUAGCAAGAAAUGCUUUUUCUCUGCAGAGUGAAGCGAUUUAAAAGUACUGGGUGUUGAAUGUGAGCUUCUAGUGAAGUCUGGGCUGAAAGCAUGAGUAGAAGACGACUAUGACAAUCUCUCCCGUGACCUGGUCUCUGAGGACCCGGGUCCCUCUCUCCGCUGAGACUCUUCGGGGACCAAUCGCGAUGCCCUGCACCCGCUGCAGAGCCGGUGCGCUGGACGGUGAAGGAGCCACGUCCCACAGACAGCGUAGAGCAGCUCUAACAAAGGCCUUAGUUUUCUUAUGUAAAGCAUCUUUUUAUCUGUAAACAUGUUUAAAGAAUGGACCUAGGCGUACAUUUGUAGAUUUUGAUGACAUAGCCAUUUUGGAUUGUAUAAGCAGCAAAUGUAACUUUUACUCUUUCAGGAGCACAUUAAAAAAGCCAGCAAGAGAUGCGUUCAGAUCACAGUGCGUCAUUUAUUAUGCAGUGAUAUCUCAGUAGACAGAGACAGCACGUCUCUUUACAUGUGGGUUCCACCUUUAAUUUACUUGUACAAUUCAUUGUUACCAUUCUGUUUUUCUACUAAUCUUUGGUGAACUUCCUGAAUAUGUGACGAAGUACGUACAGUCUACUUUUGAGCUAUUUUUAUCACAGUAUUAUUUAUUGCUUUCUUUCAAUAAAGUACUGAAGGAAAAUUUC